AAUAAGAUGCCUGAAAAAAGGACUAUUUUGAUGUGAUAGAUUAUGUUAACAACUCUUAUUU
rnacentral:tRNA from 1 species